rnacentral:tRNA from 1 species
GCCUGGGUGACUCAGUCGGUUAAGCGUCUGACUUAGGUUUAGGUCAUGAUCUCACGGUUUGUGGGUUCGAGCCCCACUUCAGGCU